rnacentral:tRNA from 1 species
GCCUGGGUGGCUCAGUGGUUGAGCGUCUGCCUUUCACUCAGGGCAUGAACCCGCAGUCCCAGGAUCGAGUCCUGCAUCAGGCU